rnacentral:rRNA from 1 species
GAACUGAAUAUAUAGGUUUGGUGAAGCGAACCCGGGGAACUGAAACAUCUCAGUACCCGGAGGAAAAGACAUCAACAGAGAUUCCCGUAGUAGUGGCGAGCGAACCGGGACCAGGCCAGUGCCUUUUAGUCAACUAACAGAACACUUUGGAAAGAGUGGCCAUAGUGGGUGACAGCCCCGUAUGUGAAAGUGAUCUAGAAGGACUUGAGUAGGGCGGGACACGUGAAAUCCUGUCUGAACAUGGGGGGACCACCCUCCAAGCCUAAAUACUCGUACAUGACCGAUAGCGAACACAGUACCGUGAGGGAAAGGUGAAAAGCACCCCGAUUAGGGGAGUGAAACAGUACCUGAAACCGGAUGCUUACAAGCAGUUGGAGCCCCAUAGGGGGUGACAGCGUACCUCUUGCAUAAUGGGUCAGUGACUUAAUGUAUCGUGCGAGCUUAAGCCGUUAGGUGUAGGCGAAGCGAAAGCGAGUCUGAAUAGGGCGACUGAGUACGAUGUAUUAGACCCGAACCCCGGCGAUCUAGGCAUGAGCAGGUUGAAGGUGCGGUAACACGCACUGGAGGACCGAACCGUUGCAUGUUGAAAAAUGCUCGGAUGACUUGUGUUUAGGGGUGAAAGGCCAAUCAAGCCGGGAAAUAGCUGGUUCUCCGCGAAAUCUAUUUAGGUAGAGCGUCGGAUGAAUACUCUCGGGGGUAGAGCACUGGAUGGGCUAUGGGGGCUUACCGCCUUACUGAUCCUAACCAAACUCCGAAUACCGAGGAGUACUAGAUGGCAGACACACUGCGGGUGCUAACGCCCGUAGUGAAAAGGGAAACAACCCUGACCUCCAGCUAAGGCCCCUAAUUCAUGGCUAAGUGGGAAAGCAGGUGAGACGACCAAAACAACCAGGAGGUUGGCUUAGAAGCAGCCAUCCUUUAAAGAUAGCGUAACAGCUCACUGGUCUAAUUAAGUUGUCUUGCGGCGAAGAUGUACCGGGGCUCAAGCCAUGAGCCGAAGCUGAGGAUGCACAUAGUGCAUGGUAGCGGAGCGUAGUGUG